rnacentral:rRNA from 1 species
CCUACGGGAGGCAGCAGUGGGGAAUCUUGCGCAAUGGGCGGAAGCCUGACGCAGCAACGCCGCGUGCGGGAAGAAGGCCUUAGGGUCGUAAACCGCUUUCAGGGGGGACGAAGCUUCCGGGGUUAAUAGCCUACGGGGUGACGGUACUCCCAAAAGAAGGUCCGGCUAACUACGUGCCAGCAGCCGCAGUAAUACGUAGGGACCGAGCGUUGUCCGGAAUCAUUGGGCGUAAAGAGCGUGUAGGCGGCUUGGUAGGUCUCGUGUGAAAUCCCGCGGCUCAACCGCGGAUCCGCACGGGAAACCCCUAAGCUCGAGUCCGGAAGAGGAGAGUGGAAUUCCUGGUGUAGCGGUGAAAUGCGCAGAUAUCAGGAAGAACACCCGUAGCGAAGGCGGCUCUCUGGGACGGUACUGACGCUGAGACGCGAAAGCGUGGGGAGCAAACAGGAUUAGAUACCCUGGUAGUCCACGCCGUAAACGAUGGGCGCUAGGUGUGGGAGGUGUCGACUCCUCCCGUGCCGAAGCUAACGCAUUAAGCGCCCCGCCUGGGGAGUACGGCCGCAAGGCUAAAACUCAAAGGAAUUGACGG